GAACGUGCCUUUUGGUUCGGAAUAACUCAGGGAAACUUGUGCUAAUACCGAAUGUGCCCUUCGGGGGAAAGAUUUAUCGCCAUUAGAGCGGCCCGCGUCUGAUUAGCUAGUUGGUAGUGUAACGGACUACCAAGGCGACGAUCAGUAGCUGGUCUGAGAGGAUGAUCAGCCACAUUGGGACUGAGACACGGCCCAAACUCCUACCGGAGGCAGCAGUGGGGAAUCUUGCGCAAUGGGCGAAAGCCUGACGCAGCCAUGCCGCGUGAAUGAUGAAGGUCUUAGGAUUGUAAAAUUCUUUCACCGGGGACGAUAAUGACGGUACCCGGAGAAGAAGCCCCGGCUAACUUCGUGCCAGCAGCCGCGGUAAUACGAAGGGGGCUAGCGUUGCUCGGAAUUACUGGGCGUAAAGGGAGCGUAGGCGGACAUUUAAGUCAGGGGUGAAAUCCCGGG
rnacentral:rRNA from 1 species